rnacentral:rRNA from 2 species
CUGGCUCAGAACGAACGCUGGUGGCGUGUCUUAUACAUGCAAGUCGAGCGAGGCAGCAAUGCCGAGCGGCGAACGGGUGAGUAACGCGUAAGCAAUCUGCCCCAUAUCAGGAAAUACCCGUGCCAACGCGCGGUUAAUGUCCAGGAG